AUUCAGACAAAAUGUACGUCUACUCUCGACGUGUGGAUAAGUUCGUCGCCACUCAGACGCCUGCUACCCUACGUCGCCGUGGGAACGCCUGAACUUGGAGGGAGAAGCCCAGCACAGUGACCUGACUGCAAUCGUGUGUUUGAGGCACUUUUCAUCCAACUCUACGAGCAGUACUGUGGAUCAAGGCGCGUAUGUGGAGUCAGGCACCAUUGUUUGAGCCAUACCCCCACAUCCGGCAAGUCAUUAUUAUUAAUAUCAUGGUGAUGGAGAAAAGCACCACCCGGCUCCAAGUGAUAAAUACUGCGACAAUCACAAGAUGUUGAGUUUAUAAACACUUUACCCAGCCAGUAAUAACCUAGUAUCUGUGCCAUUUCCUGUGUAGCCAUGUUGUCAUCUGAUAUUAUGCUUUGUUAUACAAAAAAGGUAAUACUUUUAGGCACUGCACAGGGAGAACUGUCGCGAGCCCAUAGAGGCUCCAUCUUCUGUUCUGAGGCCUGCUCCUGAGCUUCCUCUCCAGUCAACCAAACCAGCUCUUCAACCACUUGCCCACACCUCCACUUCUCCUGCCUGCCUCCCAGAUUCUGGUUCCUGUGGUUCCGGUUCUAAACCUGCAGAAGCGUCUCUGAUGUCCCUUACACCACCCAGCGCUACCACAAAAAUGAAAGACAGGAGGCAAGGAGAAGACUGGCAAAAUAGAGAGGAAUUACUCUAGGGGCCAGAGUGUAUAAGUGCAUAAUUAAUUCUGAAUGUUGAGCAUAUUCAUGUGAGAAGUGUAUUUUAGACAAGUACACCCCUACAGAAACUUACAUAAUUGUAUUGUCUAGUCAUUAUUUUUGCCAUUAAUUGUUUAAGUCAUUUUUUCUUGUUGUUUGAUUUCAUUGUGCAGUAUACAUUGUGCUCCACUUAUUUUUACACAGGCAUAGUAUUGAUUUGUGUAGUACCACAGGGUGGAUUUGACCUUUCUGUCCUCUGAAACCUUAACACUUUGUAGUUCAGUACUGACAUGAAUGUUUAUCAAAAAAGUGUCGUUAUUAAUGUGUCGUCUUUGUCCGUGUAUAUUUGCAGAAAUGUAAGUAAAGAGAAACUCUUCAAAGCA